rnacentral:rRNA from 1 species
CCAGACUCCUACGGGAGGCAGCAGUGGGGAAUAUUGCACAAUGGGGGAAACCCUGAUGCAGCGACGCCGCGUGAGCGAAGAAGUACCUCGGUAUGUAAAGCUCUAUCAGCAGGGAAGAAAGUGACAGUACCUGACUAAGAAGCCCCGGCUAACUACGUGCCAGCAGCCGCGGUAAUACGUAGGGGGCAAGCGUUAUCCGGAUUCACUGGGCGUAAAGGGAGCGCAGGCGGCGCGGCAAGUCGGCGGUCAAAUCGCGGGGCUCAACCCCGCCCAGCCGUCGGAACUGCCGGGCUAGAGUGGGCGAGAAGUGCGCGGAAUGCGUGGUGUAGCGGUGAAAUGCAUAGAUAUCACGCAGAACUCCGAUUGCGAAGGCAGCGCACCGGCGCCCUACUGACGCUCAGGCACGAAAGCGUGGGUAUCGAACAGGAUUAGAUACCCUGGUA